rnacentral:rRNA from 1 species
GGGUUGUGAGGUUAAGCGACUAAGCGUACACGGUGGAUGCCCUGGCAGUCAGAGGCGAUGAAGGACGUGCUAAUCUGCGAUAAGCGCCGGUAAGGUGAUAUGAACCGUUAUAACCGGCGAUUUCCGAAUGGGGAAACCCAGUGUGAUUCGUCACACUAUCAUUAACUGAAUCCAUAGGUUAAUGAGGCGAACCGGGGGAACUGAAACAUCUAAGUACCCCGAGGAAAAGAAAUCAACCGAGAUUCCCCCAGUAGCGGCGAGCGAACGGGGAGGAGCCCAGAGCCUGAAUCAGCAUGUGUGUUAGUGGAAGCGUCUGGAAAGGCGCGCGAUACAGGGUGACAGCCCCGUACACAAAAGCGCAUGUGCUGUGAGCUCGAUGAGUAGGGCGGGACACGUGGUAUCCUGUCUGAAUAUGGGGGGACCAUCCUCCAAGGCUAAAUACUCCUGACUGACCGAUAGUGAACCAGUACCGUGAGGGAAAGGCGAAAAGAACCCCGGCGAGGGGAGUGAAAAAGAACCUGAAACCGUGUACGUACAAGCAGUGGGAGCCCCACCACUAAGCCAGUGGUGAACUCUACAUACGCAUCCUUUGCUGAGGAUACGGUUAACGGAGCGAAAGCGACGUUCAACCUCAAAAGAAGCAGAGGGGGCUUAGUGGUGGGGUGACUGCGUACCUUUUGUAUAAUGGGUCAGCGACUUAUAUUCUGUAGCAAGGUUAACCGUAUAGGGGAGCCGUAGGGAAACCGAGUCUUAACCGGGCGUUAAGUUGCAGGGUAUAGACCCGAAACCCGGUGAUCUAGCCAUGGGCAGGUUGAAGGUUGGGUAACACUAACUGGAGGACCGAACCGACUAAUGUUGAAAAAUUAGCGGAUGACCUGUGGCUGGGGGUGAAAGGCCAAUCAAACCGGGAGAUAGCUGGUUCUCCCCGAAAGCUAUUUAGGUAGCGCCUCGUGAAUUCAUCUCCGGGGGUAGAGCACUGUUUCGGCUAGGGGGCCAUCCCGGCUUACCAACCCGAUGCAAACUGCGAAUACCGGAGAAUGUUAUCACGGGAGACACACGGCGGGUGCUAACGUCCGUCGUGAAGAGGGAAACAACCCAGACCGCCAGCUAAGGUCCCAAAGUCAUGGUUAAGUGGGAAACGAUGUGGGAAGGCCCAGACAGCCAGGAUGUUGGCUUAGAAGCAGCCAUCAUUUAAAGAAAGCGUAAUAGCUCACUGGUCGAGUCGGCCUGCGCGGAAGAUGUAACGGGGCUAAACCAUGCACCGAAGCUGCGGCAGCGACACUGUGUGUUGUUGGGUAGGGGAGCGUUCUGUAAGCCUGUGAAGGUGGCCUGUGAGGGUUGCUGGAGGUAUCAGAAGUGCGAAUGCUGACAUAAGUAACGAUAAAGCGGGUGAAAAGCCCGCUCGCCGGAAGACCAAGGGUUCCUGUCCAACGUUAAUCGGGGCAGGGUGAGUCGACCCCUAAGGCGAGGCCGAAAGGCGUAGUCGAUGGGAAACGGGUUAAUAUUCCCGUACUUGGUGUUACUGCGAAGGGGGGACGGAGAAGGCUAUGUUGGCCGGGCGACGGUUGUCCCGGUUUAAGCGUGUAGGUGUGUGUUCCAGGUAAAUCCGGUUCACUUUAACACUGAGGCGUGACGACGAGGCACUACGGUGCUGAAGCAACAAAUGCCCUGCUUCCAGGAAAAGCCUCUAAGCAUCAGGUAACAUCAAAUCGUACCCCAAACCGACACAGGUGGUCAGGUAGAGAAUACCAAGGCGCUUGAGAGAACUCGGGUGAAGGAACUAGGCAAAAUGGUGCCGUAACUUCGGGAGAAGGCACGCUGACACGUAGGUGAAGUGAUUUACUCAUGGAGCUGAAGUCAGUCGAAGAUACCAGCUGGCUGCAACUGUUUAUUAAAAACACAGCACUGUGCAAACACGAAAGUGGACGUAUACGGUGUGACGCCUGCCCGGUGCCGGAAGGUUAAUUGAUGGGGUCAGCGCAAGCGAAGCUCCUGAUCGAAGCCCCGGUAAACGGCGGCCGUAACUAUAACGGUCCUAAGGUAGCGAAAUUCCUUGUCGGGUAAGUUCCGACCUGCACGAAUGGCGUAAUGAUGGCCAGGCUGUCUCCACCCGAGACUCAGUGAAAUUGAACUCGCUGUGAAGAUGCAGUGUACCCGCGGCAAGACGGAAAGACCCCGUGAACCUUUACUAUAGCUUGACACUGAACAUUGAGCCUUGAUGUGUAGGAUAGGUGGGAGGCUUUGAAGUGUGGACGCCAGUCUGCAUGGAGCCGACCUUGAAAUACCACCCUUUAAUGUUUGAUGUUCUAACGUGGACCCGUUACCCGGGUUGCGGACAGUGUCUGGUGGGUAGUUUGACUGGGGCGGUCUCCUCCUAAAGAGUAACGGAGGAGCACGAAGGUUGGCUAAUCCUGGUCGGACAUCAGGAGGUUAGUGCAAUGGCAUAAGCCAGCUUGACUGCGAGCGUGACGGCGCGAGCAGGUGCGAAAGCAGGUCAUAGUGAUCCGGUGGUUCUGAAUGGAAGGGCCAUCGCUCAACGGAUAAAAGGUACUCCGGGGAUAACAGGCUGAUACCGCCCAAGAGUUCAUAUCGACGGCGGUGUUUGGCACCUCGAUGUCGGCUCAUCACAUCCUGGGGCUGAAGUAGGUCCCAAGGGUAUGGCUGUUCGCCAUUUAAAGUGGUACGCGAGCUGGGUUUAGAACGUCGUGAGACAGUUCGGUCCCUAUCUGCCGUGGGCGCUGGAGAACUGAGGGGGGCUGCUCCUAGUACGAGAGGACCGGAGUGGACGCAUCACUGGUGUUCGGGUUGUCAUGCCAAUGGCACUGCCCGGUAGCUAAAUGCGGAAGAGAUAAGUGCUGAAAGCAUCUAAGCACGAAACUUGCCCCGAGAUGAGUUCUCCCUGAGACUUUAGGUCUCCUGAAGGAACGUUGAAGACGACGACGUUGAUAGGCCGGGUGUGUAAGCGCAGCGAUGCGUUGAGCUAACCGGUACUAAUGAACCGUGAGGCUUAACCUUACAACGCCGAAG